GAACAGGGACAGGGCUCACUGGGAAUGGAUGCCUGUUAAACAUACUGGGAACUCUACCUCUUCUUUCCUUCCUGCCACAACAAUAGACACAAGACUUACUGCUGCUGAUCAUUGAAAUGAGCUCAACCUGGAAGCAACUUUGAGCAUUUCCCAAAUGAAACCGUGGUGAGACAGAGCAAUGGGCUUCCAUUUCCUUGAUAAUCGCUUUCUCCAAGGAAACUAAUAGGUUUUAAAUUUAUGUUGAUGAUGAAGACACUAUUUGUAUACAGCUAGACUAGGUCUGAUGCUUUGCACAGAAAUACAGUGAAUGCUGGUUGGCCCAAUAUGGAACAAGG